rnacentral:tRNA from 1 species
CCGGUCCUUGGCAACGGCAGGCAGGCCGUUUCGAUCGCGGUACGCGAUUUCGCGAUCGAACCGCCGUUCCUGCUCGUCGGGAUCGGCC